CAAAAUUUGAAAAUCACGACCUAUUAUAAGUUUUUUUUUCUUUGUUGAUAAUUGGUACUGUAUGAACUAGCAAAAGUUAUAAACAGUUUCUCGUAGCUCAAAAAUGUUUGGAUCAUCGUAGUGUCAGAUAAUUUUGGCUUAUGUGAAGGUGAGCUAAUCCUACGAAACUAAAAUUUCCAUGAAUAAAUUAUUAACCAGCGAAUAACAAAACAACUAUAAUGAAUCACGGACAAAUAUUUUUAUAGAAUUUGUUUUGUUGGGCAAGAGUUUAAAGAAUUUAUAAAGUGACUUUUCACCAAGGUUCAACAGCUGUUGUGCAAGAAGAAUCCCACCGUCAAUCACGUGUUUCAUCAAUCCAUCUGCCGCCACGCGUCAACAACACACUCGUUCUCCAAUCAUAUGCUUUGCUCCUCCCGCCGAUUAGAAAAAUAAAACGGUAAUUAAUGUUUUUGGUCACCGGAAUUGAAAACUGCUCUUUGAGUCUGCUUCUUUGUUUUACAGUUGUCACAAAAACUUUACUUUUUAAAACACCAUAAAUUCGUUAUAAAAAUAAAAACAAGAUUUGAAUGUGGCACGUUGCUUCCAUCCAUUUAAUCAUUUGAUAAUGAUACAUGAACCAUAAUCAUAUGGCAUGUUUAGUGAUUGAUACCUUCUCUAAUAUCCGCCUAAUUUGAUCUACUAUAUGGUCCGAUUAGAUUUAUAAAAAAAACAUAUUAGUUUAGUUUUGAGAAUGUUUUACGCAACAGUUUUCAUCAGAUCGACCUUGUUCAUUUGAUAUAUAAAAUUUGAAAUUGUUAGUAGAAAAAUAUUUGAAAUUUAAUUUUGAAGCUAACGAACGGGCUUUAAAUUUUUGAACAAAAUAACUAAACUUAUGAGUGAGAUUCUAUUUCGUGGUUGGUCAUUUCAAACAUGUUAUAUGUCAGAAAACAUAAUUUCAAAUUUUCAACUAUACUACUUCUCCGCCAGCUUUUAUACCAAAUUCCAGUUUUAAAUAUAUUUUUUGUUUGGUUUACUAUGC